rnacentral:rRNA from 1 species
AUGAUGGCGGCGCCGAGCGACCUCGCCGGGUUGAUGCCCGUGCCGGUGAUGGGGAUCGUCGCCAGCCCCGCAUAUCGCGCCCAGGCACUGCAUCGCCAUGUAGAACACCGCCCUGGUGAGCGACAGCUUCCGGGCCAGGAACAGCCCGAAGGUGACCGCGGGGUUGAUGUGGCCGCCGGAGAUGCCGGCGGUGCAGUAGACGAGCACGAAGAUCAUGCCGCCGAAGCUCCAGGCGAUGCCCUGGAUGCCCACCGUGCCGCACUUGGACCCCGACGGGUUGCCCACCACGCCCAUCACGGUGAGCACCGAGAUGUAGAGGAAGAGGAAGGUGGCCAGGAACUCGGCGAUGCCGGCCCGGUAGAAGGACCAGGAGGUGAGCUCCUCCGCCUCGAAGAGGGGCGCCGGGGGCGGCUCCUUGUAGUCCUUCUCGUCCGCGCCGCCGCCCUGCGCCGCCGUGCCGAUGGGCUGGCGCUCCGAGUAGCGGUUCGCGCCCAGGCGCACGUCCUCCUCCUUGCCCUCCAUUGCCGCCGCUCGAGCUUGGCUUGGUUGCUGCGCGGAGGAGAAGAUGUAGAUGGGUGCGUGAGAGAUGGAGAGAUGAGGAAUGGGAGUGGGUUUGGAGUGCCUCUUAUAGAGGGGGCCAAUCAUGGCCGCUCUGUUAUCCUCUCCUCUGCAUGGUGUGUUGUGUCUUGUGUGUGUGUGUGUGUGUCAUGA